AGCUCUCGUAAAACUGGAUGAUCGGCAACGUAAGACACUUCGUUGGAGAAGCAUUUAUCAAUUGAAUCAUACCAAAAUUUCAAUUUCAAUUUAAUUAUAUGCUCUUCGGACACCUAGAAGCGGUAACAGAAUACUGAGCUGUGUCCCUCAAGAACUUCGAUGCAAACUGAUUGAAAAAAACUGUCUAGUUCCAACUCUCUUAAUAACGAUAACUGUGCUGGAAAAACGUCAUGUUGGCAUAAGAGGGAUAGCAGCGGAUUUUAACAUCUCUUACGUAUCGGCUUAACAUAUUUUGGUUAAUGUUUUGGGUGGUAUUUAAGGUAGAGGUCGCAAAAGUGAUGCUAGACAGCGUAGCUGAGAACCCUACAUGCAUCAAACGGAUCAUUACUGGUGACGAGACAUGGGCUUAUGGAUAUGACGUCGAAACUGUCCAACAAUCUAGCGAAUGGCGCUUCAAAAAAUGCGACGAAACCGAAAAAACACAACGUCUAAAUUUCACUACUGUUGUUCGGUUUAUUAUAUAACCAAUAACAGAAUAAAUAAUUACAUAAGAAAUAAAGAAAUUUCUAAAAAAAACAAAAACUAUGUUAUAAUAACAUUAAAAAUAUCUUCAUUUCGCACACUACUGUAGGUAGCAAUAGCUCAAGCACGAGCUACACACAUGUUCAGCCGCUAAUGAGCAAGAAAAAUGCGCCCUGCAUUUGCAUACACGAGCAAAUUAUUGGUGAAGUGUAAUCCAAGUAUGUCGCACUACAGCUAGAUGAAUAUCUAUAGGGUUAGCAAAAGCUAGUAAUAAACCUGAAACGCCAACCUGUACCGGCUGAGCACACAUAUUAGCGGUAACCGAUAACCGUAGCGCAAACGCGCAAUUUCCACAGAAAAUAAAAGUGCCAACACAUGCUGACUGAUAACAUUCUUAAAGAUCGCACAGUUUCGCAGUCUAAGAACAGUGUUCGAAAACGGCAAAAAUUGGGUGUAUCCAGAGGUGGAAAAAAAAAAACAAAAACAAAAACAAUACUAUAUUUACACACAGCUUGUACUCGUAUAGAUCACUGGGGCAACUUUUUAUGCUAAUUCGCCGCAGACAACUAUCGAGAAUAUUUCUAGAUUUGAAUAAACAACAAACAAGUUCGAAAAGACUUUGGAAAGUCAGCGGCAUAUUGUGGACUUAUGAAUAUUCACCCAAGUAUUUCGAGUGAUUAGAGGCUGCUUCGUGAAAAGAUUGUUGCGUAAAUAAAUUUAUAAAAAAAAACAAAAACUAAAUAACAACAACAGUAGUAAGUAAGAAUUUUUCUACAAUAAUAACACAAAAUAUUGCACCUGUUCGCACAAGAGUCUCCACAUCAUAGCCACGAGCAUAAAUGGCGGAGCAACGAAAUUUGAGUGUAACUCUUUGAGCGCGAUUUUGAGUUGUUUACCUCUGCGCUGAUCUGAUUGGUCGCAUGAAGAAGGUGUGUACGCUACAAUGGCGCAAUAUACACGACAGCACAAUAAUUUACCACAUACAUAUGUAUAUACAUAUAUAUAAUAUAUAAAGAAAUAUUUAUUAUUGACGCAAAAACAACUUUGCACUUUAUGCAAAUUAAAAAUAAAUUAUGUUGUUGCCUAAUUUUUUUUGUAUUAAACGCGAAGUUAAACUUGUUUCCAUAUACUUUUGCAUGUGUAUGUAUGUAUGUACAAUAUCUUAAGAGUAAUUUACAGCAGCUGAAGAAAAUCGCGGAAAGAAUGACAACUUUCGUUAAGUUUACUCACUUUGGCAAUGAUUUUGAUGAUUCGCGAUACUUUAGUACCUUCUCUGUAUAUUUGUACUUAUCUAACGGUUUAGCACAUAUUUAUCUGCGUAUGUAUUUAAAACGAUCAGUUGCGCAUGAUCACCUUUCAUACGGUGUAACGCGAUAAAUUAGUUACAUAUCGUAGGUUAGUUUACAAGCGAUCAUACUAGGUACAUACAUACAAACAUAAAUAUGCAGUUUUUAGUUGAAAUAAUAUAUUUCAGCAUUAUUGAUGCUUCAUUAUAUCAAAGUGCAGCAACUAAUUCGAAUUAUGGCAGCAAAAUGAUUUUGGAUUUCAUUAUAGGGAAUCCUGUCUUUGUCACUUAAAAGCCUCGUAUCAAAUGUUGUAGAGUGGAAGUAGGUUAAUAAAGCAAAAUAAAGCCUGAAGGAGAGAAAUUCAAUUUCUUUUUCCUUAAUCUCUGAAUAAAUGGUAAAACUUUGAUCUUCUUAAGUCUAAAUAUUUUUAAGCUCAGAGAACUUUCGUUUACAAUGGGUCUCUGUCCACCGGUCGGCAUGCGUAGUUCUCUAAGACUUGUAGUAGGACCUAGUGCGCAUAUAAGGCUAACGUGGCUUUAUAUAUUUUCCAUAUUUAGGUUAGGUUAGGUUAGUCUGGUAGGUUCGUGAGCCUCGCAUAGACCAUUUUUGGUUUUUAGUGAUGCCAGAUGGAGUGUCGUUACGUAGUACAUGAGAAAUAGUCAUCUUUUACGAUGUCAGUUCUUGCCGCGAGUUUUAAUAAGUAAGUUCUGCGAUCUCACUAUCGAUACCUCUUCCAUAUUUUCAAUAUUGAGGAAGGAAUAAAAAUAUAUUAUUUUAAAAUUUCACGAAUUUCAUAACCAUAAAAAUUGAGAUUAAUCGACAUUGCUGAUAAGCAAUAGACACCACGACGAUGCAAGAUUUAAAGUGUUUAAAUAUUUUAUUUUUAUAAAUCAAUUU